rnacentral:rRNA from 1 species
GGUUAAGCGACUAAGCGUACACGGUGGAUGCCCUGGCAGUCAGAGGCGAUGAAGGACGUGCUAAUCUGCGAAAAGCGCCGGCGAGGUGAUAUGAACCUUUGACCCGGCGAUGUCCGAAUGGGGAAACCCAGUGCAAUCCGUUGCACUAUCGUUAACUGAAUACAUAGGUUAACGAGGCGAACCGGGGGAACUGAAACAUCUAAGUACCCCGAGGAAAAGAAAUCAACCGAGAUUCCCCCAGUAGCGGCGAGCGAACGGGGAGCAGCCCGGAGUCUGAAUCAGCUUGUGUGUUAGUGGAACGGUCUGGAAAGUCCGACGGUACAGGGUGAUAGUCCCGUACACGAAAGCACACAUGCUGUGAACUCGAAGAGUAGGGCGGGACACGUGGUAUCCUGUCUGAAUAUGGGGGGACCAUCCUCCAAGGCUAAAUACUCCUGACUGACCGAUAGUGAACCAGUACCGUGAGGGAAAGGCGAAAAGAACCCCGGCGAGGGGAGUGAAAAAGAACCUGAAACCGUGUACGUACAAGCAGUGGGAGCCUCUUUAUGGGGUGACUGCGUACCUUUUGUAUAAUGGGUCAGCGACUUAUAUUCUGUAGCAAGGUUAACCGUAUAGGGGAGCCGAAGGGAAACCGAGUCUUAACUGGGCGUUAAGUUGCAGGGUAUAGACCCGAAACCCGGUGAUCUAGCCAUGGGCAGGUUGAAGGUUGGGUAACACUAACUGGAGGACCGAACCGACUAAUGUUGAAAAAUUAGCGGAUGACCUGUGGCUGGGGGUGAAAGGCCAAUCAAACCGGGAGAUAGCUGGUUCUCCCCGAAAGCUAUUUAGGUAGCGCCUCGUGAACUCAUCUUCGGGGGUAGAGCACUGUUUCGGCUAGGGGGCCAUCCCGGCUUACCAACCCGAUGCAAACUACGAAUACCGAAGAAUGUUAUCACGGGAGACACACGGCGGGUGCUAACGUCCGUCGUGAAGAGGGAAACAACCCAGACCGCCAGCUAAGGUCCCAAAGUCAUGGUUAAGUGGGAAACGAUGUGGGAAGGCACAGACAGCCAGGAUGUUGGCUUAGAAGCAGCCAUCAUUUAAAGAAAGCGUAAUAGCUCACUGGUCGAGUCGGCCUGCGCGGAAGAUGUAACGGGGCUAAACCAUGCACCGAAGCUGCGGCAGCGACGCUUAUGCGUUGUUGGGUAGGGGAGCGUUCUGUAAGCCGUUGAAGGUGUGCUGUGAGGCAUGCUGGAGGUAUCAGAAGUGCGAAUGCUGACAUAAGUAACGAUAAAGCGGGUGAAAAGCCCGCUCGCCGGAAGACCAAGGGUUCCUGUCCAACGUUAAUCGGGGCAGGGUGAGUCGACCCCUAAGGCGAGGCCGAAAGGCGUAGUCGAUGGGAAACAGGUUAAUAUUCCUGUACUUGGUGUUACUGCGAAGGGGGGACGGAGAAGGCUAUGUCAGCCGGGCGACGGUUGUCCCGGUUUAAGCAUGUAGGCGGAGGUUCCAGGUAAAUCCGGUACCUUAUUAACGCUGAGGUGUGAUGACGAGGCACUACGGUGCUGAAGUGAUAAAUGCCCUGCUUCCAGGAAAAGCCUCUAAGCAUCAGGUAACACGAAAUCGUACCCCAAACCGACACAGGUGGUCAGGUAGAGAAUACCAAGGCGCUUGAGAGAACUCGGGUGAAGGAACUAGGCAAAAUGGUGCCGUAACUUCGGGAGAAGGCACGCUGAUAUGUAGGUGAAGCCCCUGCGGGUGGAGCUGAAAUCAGUCGAAGAUACCAGCUGGCUGCAACUGUUUAUUAAAAACACAGCACUGUGCAAACACGAAAGUGGACGUAUACGGUGUGACGCCUGCCCGGUGCCGGAAGGUUAAUUGAUGGGGUUAGCGGCAACGCGAAGCUCUUGAUCGAAGCCCCGGUAAACGGCGGCCGUAACUAUAACGGUCCUAAGGUAGCGAAAUUCCUUGUCGGGUAAGUUCCGACCUGCACGAAUGGCGUAAUGAUGGCCAGGCUGUCUCCACCCGAGACUCAGUGAAAUUGAACUCGCUGUGAAGAUGCAGUGUACCCGCGGCAAGACGGAAAGACCCCGUGAACCUUUACUAUAGCUUGACACUGAACACUGGUCCUUGAUGUGUAGGAUAGGUGGGAGGCUUUGAAGCGUGGACGCCAGUCUGCGUGGAGCCAACCUUGAAAUACCACCCUUUAAUGGCUGGUGUUCUAACGUAGACCCGUAAUCCGGGUUGCGGACAGUGUCUGGUGGGUAGUUUGACUGGGGCGGUCUCCUCCCAAAGAGUAACGGAGGAGCACGAAGGUUGGCUAAUCCUGGUCGGACAUCAGGAGGUUAGUGCAAUGGCAUAAGCCAGCUUGACUGCGAGCGUGACGGCGCGAGCAGGUGCGAAAGCAGGUCAUAGUGAUCCGGUGGUUCUGAAUGGAAGGGCCAUCGCUCAACGGAUAAAAGGUACUCCGGGGAUAACAGGCUGAUACCGCCCAAGAGUUCAUAUCGACGGCGGUGUUUGGCACCUCGAUGUCGGCUCAUCACAUCCUGGGGCUGAAGUAGGUCCCAAGGGUAUGGCUGUUCGCCAUUUAAAGUGGUACGCGAGCUGGGUUUAGAACGUCGUGAGACAGUUCGGUCCCUAUCUGCCGUGGGCGCUGGAGAAUUGAGGGGGGCUGCUCCUAGUACGAGAGGACCGGAGUGGACGCAUCACUGGUGUUCGGGUUGUCAUGCCAAUGGCACUGCCCGGUAGCUAAAUGCGGAAGAGAUAAGUGCUGAAAGCAUCUAAGCACGAAACUUGCCCCGAGAUGAGUUCUCCCUGAGACCUUGAGUCUCCUGAAGGAACGUUGAAGACGACGACGUUGAUAGGUCGGGUGUGUAAGCGCAGCGAUGCGUUGAGCUAACCGAUACUAAUGAACCGUGAGGCUUAACCUU